GCCAAAGUAGCUCAGCUGGGAGAGCGUUAGACUGAAGAUCUAAAGGUCCCUGGUUCAACCCCGGGCUUUGGCA
rnacentral:tRNA from 1 species